rnacentral:lncRNA from 1 species
UUUUUUUUGAAAUACGCUCUUUUUGUUCGAAACCAAUGAACUUUUCUGUAAUUCAUGAAAAUUUUCCCAAAUGUUUUCAAAUAAUUUAAAAAUCAAAGCGCUACAGUACGUUUACAUGUAUAUGAAUAAAUUGUGCGGCGACAGAGUACUUUAAACAGUCUUCCUUGAUUUCGCCAGUAGUCCGGUGUAGUGUAGUUGGUUUGCCCGUGUCGUUCGCUACUCGACCAAUUUUUGGCUGUUCUUUGCUCGCUUGACUUUUUGCUGGGCCGGCCCAGUUCACAGCCGCGUGGGCGCCCGAACUGCCAACUGGCGCUAAAGGCGCCCGUUAGGAGCUCCCGUACGCCAGACGAUCGAGUCGGCACCGCCUUCCCAGCGCAAAGCGGUACCGCGUACGCUGACGCAGCCCACCACACGUCGACGAAGGGCGACGCGCAGCCCAGAGAAGGAAGGAGGCCCGCCCACGUAUACAACCAACGUAUAAACCCUAGAAAAGCAAGUCAACGGAGCAGGCUGGCCCAUGCGCACCCAAUAUCGCUAGCUGCACCAACAGAGUAGCUACGCACGUUCAAAAAAUUUGAAACAAAACCCUGGAUACACAACGCAUUUGUACACCACCAUGUACCAAAAAAAUAACACGUGCCAUGUGCCACUUUACCUAGGGGUCAUUUUCAUCCAAGUGUAUCAAUAUUGGAGCGAAAACUUGGCCUGAAAUAGAUGCUUGGGUACUAGCACAACUUGACUCAACAAGGAGUAUAUCCAGCACUGAGUACCAGAUCGAUUAAACAGCUAUCACCACCACCAUCUGCAAAAAUUAAUCUGAUGGUAGGUGAUCUAUGCACAUAAAUAAUGAUUUAGCAACAUAUACUCCUUGUAACAAAUGUCCAGUUAAUGAUCACUAUUGUAACUACUACUUUAACCAUUGGCAAUUUCAGACAGAAAAGAUCAAACAAUCAAGAUGACAGUGUGCACUAAUCAACAAUCCCUAACACAUUUUCGGAUAAAGAUCAACAACAUCUACACGCACAAGAUUUAGUAUUCAGAUUCAGAUUCAGUAUUCAGUGCCCCUCUAUCUUUAUCAAAUUCAGAUGCAAAUUCUCACUGGACAAAAAGCCAUCACAAGAUUCAUAACCAAGAUGCAACUGUAGGAAAAAAGCUGAACGUACACGGUGCGAACAGGACCGCUGAUGCCGACGGUGAAGACGUGGUCGGCGAAGUGGCGGGAGAAGAGAGGCGGCACGUGCUUGGAGAAGACCAAUUUUAGCCAAGAGCGAUUCUUGGUGUGGACUGUGGAGUUGAGCAGAUGCAGUCGGGACCGACUUCGUGGCCGACGGCAUCCACCCAGUGAGGAGGUGUUCGACGACAUGUAGGGCUAGCUUCGGCUCGCCGCCCUCGGGGAAGGACGUCUCCCGUCGGGGAGCAUAUAAAAAAAAAUCAAGCCUUCUCCUUGCCAUGGUUCUCCAUGGGGAACGAGGGGGAAGCAACGCGGCGGUGGCGUGGGGCGGGGGAGCUCCAAGCGUCGCGCGGGAGAGCUAUGUGGGGGAGCAGAGGAGGGGAGCUCUGGCAUGGGGGAGCUGACCAAGGGAGCUCCAACGACGCGUAGGAGAGCUAUGGGGGGAGCAGAGGAGGGGAGCUCUAGCGUGGGGGAGCUGAGCAAG